rnacentral:rRNA from 1 species
UAGAUACCCUGGUAGUCCACGCAGUAAACGAUGAACACUAGCCGUGCGGUGCGAUCAGGACCUGCGUGGCACAGCGAAAGCGUUAAGUGUUCCACCUGGGGAGUACGCCGGCAACGGUGAAACUCAAAGGAAUUGACGGGGGCCCGCACAAGCGGAGGAACAUGUGGUUUAAUUCGAUGAUACGCGAGGAACCUUACCCGGGCUCAAACGUCGCAGGACGGACCUUGAAAGAGGCCCUUCCUUCGGGACCUGCGACGAGGUGCUGCAUGGUUGUCGUCAGCUCGUGCCGUGAGGUGUCGGCUUAAGUGCCAUAACGAGCGCAACCCCCAUCGCCGGUUACCAUCAAGUAAAGUUGGGGACUCUGGCGAGACUGCCGGCGCAAGCUGCGAGGAAGGCGGGGAUGACGUCAAAUCAGCACGGCCCUUACGUCCGGGGCGACACACGUGUUACAAUGGCAGGCACAGAGAGAAGCGACAUGGCGACAUGAAGCGGAACUGUCAAAACCUGUCUCAGUUCGGAUUGGAGUCUGCAACCCGACUCCAUGAAGCUGGAUUCGCUAGUAAUCGCGCAUCAGCCACGGCGCGGUGAAUACGUUCCCGGGCCUUGUACACACCGCCCGUCAAGCCAUGAAAGC